GUGCUUACUUCAGCAGCACAUAUACUAACUAAACUUGGAACGAUUCAGAGAAGAUUAGAAUGACCCUGUGCAAGGACGACAUGCAAAUCCCUGAAGUGUUCCGUACUUCU
ensembl:snRNA U6 U6 spliceosomal RNA